UCCCUGGUGGCUCAGUGGUUAGGGUUUAGCACUUUCGGUGCUGUGGCCUGGGUUCAAUCUCUGGUCAGGGAA
rnacentral:tRNA from 1 species